rnacentral:tRNA from 1 species
AAUAAGAUGCCUGAUAAAAGGAUUAUUUUGAUAGAAUAAAUUAUACAAUUUUUGUUCUUAUUA